GGGAUGCGGGAGGCCCGCGGAGCGCGCUCCUCCGGCGGCGGCGGGGGCGGCUGUUUCCCGCUGAAAGCCCCAGAAAUGCAGGCCGCCGUUUACGGACUCCUCCUCCUCCACCUCACCCUAACAGUAUUUGCAAUCUGUACGACAAAUAAGGCAGAGAAUUUUUUCACCAAUAGGUGUUAAGUCCUUUAAAGAAUCCACUUUUUUUUUUUUUUUUAUUAAAAACCCCUCGAACGACAAGAACUGAAGUCCCUGCACUGCCCUGAAACCUAAGAAUCUUGUGCUCCUUAGAAACUGAGUUUUGGGUUUUCCUUUUUCUUUGAACUCCUGUUGCCAUUGGCUGUGAGUUCCUACGAGGUUGUUUUAGAAAAAAAGGAAUUAUGGAGGAGUGGAAAAACUAUGAGUGAGAUUGAACAACUUGUCUGAAGUUAUGGAACUUCAGGAGAGAGUGGUUUAAGAUUUGGAUGCAUAACCUUUCUCUAAAAGAAUGAAGAAAUUGGUUGAGAGAAUUUCUAGCAUUCCUGUCAGCACAAGUUUGUAAUUUGAUCUCUUUGUGAAAUAACCUGUCAUCUUAUGAGAAACUGUUGGAGCGUUAACUGAAAGUAGAAAGAAGCAAGUCCUAGGGAACUCCUAAAAAUAACUGAUCCCUUUAUUUUACUGCCAACUUUUGCUACUUCAGACUGAAACAACCCAAUAGUAACAACCUAAUCCUGUAGAACUGUAUGCAUCUAUUAACUGGAAACAUGCCCAGUGUCCACAUUACAUAGUCUCAAGAGAUUUGAAAAUGGCUGUCUCUGAGGAGUGGGAGUAGGUAGUGGAUGAGGGGUAGAGGGUAUAAGGUGGGGAACUUCUGUUUUUAAGUUUUUUUUUUUUUAAUUUAUUUUUUAUUGGUGUUCAAUUUACUAACAUACAGAAUAACCCCCA